rnacentral:tRNA from 1 species
GCGGCGAUAACUCAGCCGGUAGAGUAGCGGCCUUUUAAGCCGCGAGUCGAGGGUUCGAGUCCCUCUCGCCGUA